GCGGGGGUGUCGGAGCGGUCAAACGAGCUUCGCUAAGGACGAAGUGGCUUAGUGCCUGCAGGGGUUCGAAUCCUCUCUCCCGCA
rnacentral:tRNA from 1 species